GGAUGAACGCUGGCGGCGUGCCUAAUACAUGCAAGUCGAGCGAACAGACGAGGAGCUUGCUCCUUUGACGUUAGCGGCGGACGGGUGAGUAACACGUAGGUAACCUACCUAUAAGACUGGGAUAACUUCGGGAAACCGGAGCUAAUACCGGAUAAUAUUUCGAACCGCAUGGUUCGAUAGUGAAAGAUGGCUUUGCUAUCACUUAUAGAUGGACCUGCGCCGUAUUAGCUAGUUGGUAAGGUAACGGCUUACCAAGGCAACGAUACGUAGCCGACCUGAGAGGGUGAUCGGCCACACUGGAACUGAGACACGGUCCAGACUCCUACGGGAGGCAGCAGUAGGGAAUCUUCCGCAAUGGGCGAAAGCCUGACGGAGCAACGCCGCGUGAGUGAUGAAGGUCUUCGGAUCGUAAAACUCUGUUAUUAGGGAAGAACAAACGUGUAAGUAACUGUGCACGUCUUGACGGUACCUAAUCAGAAAGCCACGGCUAACUACGUGCCAGCAGCCGCGGUAAUACGUAGGUGGCAAGCGUUAUCCGGAAUUAUUGGGCGUAAAGCGCGCGUAGGCGGUUUUUUAAGUCUGAUGUGAAAGCCCACGGCUCAACCGUGGAGGGUCAUUGGAAACUGGAAAACUUGAGUGCAGAAGAGGAAAGUGGAAUUCCAUGUGUAGCGGUGAAAUGCGCAGAGAUAUGGAGGAACACCAGUGGCGAAGGCGACUUUCUGGUCUGUAACUGACGCUGAUGUGCGAAAGCGUGGGGAUCAAACAGGAUUAGAUACCCUGGUAGUCCACGCCGUAAACGAUGAGUGCUAAGUGUUAGGGGGUUUCCGCCCCUUAGUGCUGCAGCUAACGCAUUAAGCACUCCGCCUGGGGAGUACGACCGCAAGGUUGAAACUCAAAGGAAUUGACGGGGACCCGCACAAGCGGUG
rnacentral:rRNA from 1 species